AAGUCGUAACAAGGUUUCCGUAGGUGAACCUGCGGAAGGAUCAUUAAAGAAAAGGAUCGGGUUUACGGUGUCCGCCACCGUAAGCCCCCUCCGAAACCCCUACCCUUGAUUAUCGUACCCUGUUGCCUCGGUGGGUUCGCCCACCGGUGGACGCAAUUAAACCACUUUUUAACCGCGUGGUCUGAGCGAUUAUAGCAAUAGUUAAAACUUUCAACAACGGAUCUCUUGGUUCUG
rnacentral:misc_RNA from 1 species